rnacentral:rRNA from 1 species
GACGAACGCUGGCGGCGCGCCUAACACAUGCAAGUCGAACGGAGUCAAGAGGAGCUUGCUUUUCUUGACUUAGUGGCGAACGGGUGAGUAACGCGUGAGUAACCUGCCCUGGAGUGGGGGACAACAGUUGGAAACGACUGCUAAUACCGCAUAAGCCCACGGAUCUGCAUGGAUCUGCGGGAAAAGGAUUUAUUCGCUCUAGGAUGGACUCGCGUCCAAUUAGCUAGUUGGUGAGGUAACGGCCCACCAAGGCGACGAUUGGUAGCCGGACUGAGAGGUUGAACGGCCACAUUGGGACUGAGACACGGCCCAGACUCCUACGGGAGGCAGCAGUGGGGGAUAUUGCACAAUGGGGGAAAACCUGAUGCAGCGACGCCGCGUGGAGGAAGAAGGUUUUCGGAUUGUAAACUCCUGUCGUGAGGGACGAUAAUGACGGUACCUAACAAGAAAGCACCAGCUAACUACGUG